AACGAACGCUGGCGGCAUGCCUAACACAUGCAAGUCGAACGAGACCUUCGGGUCUAGUGGCGCACGGGUGCGUAACGCGUGGGAACCUGCCCUUAGGUUCGGAAUAACUCCCCGAAAGGGGUGCUAAUACCGGAUAAUGUCUUCGGUCCAAAGAUUUAUCGCCUUUGGAUGGGCCCGCGUUGUAUUAGCUAGUUGGUAGGGUAAAAGCCUACCAAGGCGACGAUCCAUAGCUGGUCUGAGAGGAUGAUCAGCCACACUGGGACUGAGAAACGGCCCAGAAUCCUACGGGAGGCAGCAGUGGGGAAUAUAGGAAAAUGGGCGAUAGCCUGAUCCAGCAAUGCCGCGUGAGUGAUGAAGGCCUUAGGGUUGUAAAGCUCUUUUACCCGGGAUGAUAAUGACAGUACCGGGAGAAUAAGCACCGGCUAACUCCGUG
rnacentral:rRNA from 1 species